rnacentral:rRNA from 1 species
AUUGAACGCUGGCGGCAGGCCUAACACAUGCAAGUCGAACGAGUGGCGGACGGGUGAGUAAUGUCUGGGAAACUGCCUGAGGGAGGGGGAUAACUACUGGAAACGGUAGCUAAUACCGCAUACCAUCGGAUGUGCCCAGAUGGGAUUAUCUAGUAGGUGGGGUAAAGGCUCACCUAGGCGACGAUCCCUAGCGGGUCUGAGAGGAUGACCAGCCACACUGGAACUGAGACACGGUCCUGAACCCUACGGGUGGCAGCAGUGGGGAAUACUGCACAAGUGCCGCAAUCCUGAUGCAGCCAUGACGCGUGUAUGAAGAGUGUCUUCGGGUUGUAACGUACUUUUAGCCUGGAGGCCUGACCCGCAGAAGAAUCACCGGCUAACUCCGUGCCAGCAGCCGCGGUAAUAC